rnacentral:sRNA from 1 species
CAAGACAAAAACAAUGGAAGCCCUGCCUCUCAACCAUCCUUGCAGCUCCUAAGCUGCGCCAGUGUGAAUUUGUCUUUUCGAAAUGAG